UGCUCUGGUUGCCUCUGAGGAUGAAUGGACAACAUGAGAAGCACCGAGGAGUGUGUCUGGGGUCGGAAUCACAGAAAAGCAAGAAAUGAAGGGACUUCAGAAGGUCAUCUGGUCUAAGUCACAUCUGAAAAGGAAUCCCCUCUACAAAAUCCCCACAAAUAAUAUUCCAGAGAAGGAAGAAAGAAAAAGAAAAUCCAUAUUAAACUACUCUCUUGAAGCUCUAAUUGAUUCAGCCUGGACCAAGGAUGGAGCACAAUCUCUGUUCUCUAAAGACCUGGGAAAGGACAAGGAACUGAGAGGACAUCUUUUUUUCUCUCUCUCUCGGAGCCAAUCAUUUAACAAUUAUUUAUUUAUUGUCAUUUAAUUUAUUUUAUCCAAGGAACAAAAAUGUAUUUUCUCUUCCCUCUGCCACUGGGGGGGAAAAAAAAAGCAAAACCAUUGUAAUAAAUAUGCAAAGUCAAGCAAAAUAAAUCCCCACACUGGCUAUAUCCAAAAAUGUAUUUUGUAUCUUGGCUCCAUCCCUUCUCUGGCAGGAGGGUAGCAUACUU